UGCCCUAGUAACGGCGAGUGAAGCGGCAACAGCUCAAAUUUGAAAUCUGGCUACCUUUCGUAGUCCGAGUUGUAAUUUGUAGAGGAUGCUUUUGGUGAGGUGCCUUCCGAGUUCCCUGGAACGGGACGCCAUAGAGGGUGAGAGCCCCGUACGGUUGGAUACCAAGCCUCUGUAUAGCUCCUUCAACGAGUCGAGUAGUUUGGGAAUGCUGCUCUAAAUGGGAGGUAUAUCUCUUCUAAAGCUAAAUAUAGGCUAGAGACCGAUAGCGCACAAGUAGAGUGAUCGAAAGAUGAAAAGCACUUUGAAAAGAGAGUUAAACAGCACGUGAAAUUGUUGAAAGGGAAGCGCCUAUGACCAGACUUGUUUCUGGCAGUUUUGUUAGCCCUCUCGGGGGCUGAUUUACUCUGUCCAGUACAGGCCAGCAUCAGUUUGCUGUCGGGGAGAAAGGCUCUGGGAAUGUGGCUCCCCUCCUCUGGGGGGGAGUGUUAUAGCCCUCUGCAUAAUACCCUUUGGCAGACUGAGGACCGCGCUUCGGCAAGGAUGCUGGCGUAAUGGUCAUCAGCGACCCGUCUUGAAACACGGACCAAGGAGUCAACCUUAUGUGCGAGUGUUUGGGUGUAAAACCCCAGCGCGUAAUGAAAGUGAACGUAGGUGAGAGCUUCGGCGCAUCAUCGACCGAUUCUGAUGUUUUCGGAUGGAUUUGAGUAAGAGCACACAGGGUUGGACCCGAAAGAAGGUGAACUAUGCUUGUAUAGGGUGAAGCCAGAGGAAACUCUGGUGGAGGCUCGCAGCGGUUCUGACGUGCAAAUCGAUCGUCAAAUAUGAGCAGGGGGGCGAAAG
rnacentral:rRNA from 1 species